CAGCCAUUGGUCUCUUCAGCCAUCUGGGUUGUCCCAGCUUUUUAAAGGCGCCGCGAAACGGAACAGAAAACGAGAGUCGAGAGGCGAGGGUUGUGAGCCCCGGUCCAGCCCCUCCAUCUCCCUGCCCUCCUGAUGAGGCCAUGGGCUCUGGCAGUGACUAAGUGGCCGCCCUCUGCCCCCGUGGGUCACUGUCGAGUCUCUACGAGACCUAGCAGCAGCCCAGGCCAGCUCUGGGGAAGCUGCUGCCCCGACCGCCACACCUCUCUGUAGAGGAGCACCGAGCUUCAGAAGCUCCUGCCGGCAGGAGCCCCCGAAUGCUGCACCCAGCCACCCAGCAGAGCCCGUUCAUGGUUGAUCUCCACGACCAGGUGCACCAGGGACCUGUCCCUCUGUCCUACAC
rnacentral:lncRNA from 1 species